GAUGAACGCUGGCGGCGUGCCUAAUACAUGCGAGUCGAGCGAACAGACGAGGAGCUUGCUCCUCUGACGUUAGCGGCGGACGGGUGAGUAACACGUGGAUAACCUACCUAUAAGACUGGGAUAACUUCGGGAAACCGGAGCUAAUACCGGAUAAUAUAUUGAACCGCAUGGUUCAAUAGUGAAAGACGGUUUUGCUGUCACUUAUAGAUGGAUCCGCGCCGCAUUAGCUAGUUGGUAAGGUAACGGCUUACCAAGGCAACGAUGCGUAGCCGACCUGAGAGGGUGAUCGGCCACACUGGAACUGAGACACGGUCCAGACUCCUACGGGAGGCAGCAGUAGGGAAUCUUCCGCAAUGGGCGAAAGCCUGACGGAGCAACGCCGCGUGAGUGAUGAAGGUCUUCGGAUCGUAAAACUCUGUUAUUAGGGAAGAACAAAUGUGUAAGUAACUAUGCACGUCUCGACGGUACCUAAUCAGAAAGCCACGGCUAACUACGUG
rnacentral:rRNA from 1 species